rnacentral:rRNA from 1 species
AACGAACGCUGGCGGCAUGCCUAACACAUGCAAGUCGAACGAGACCUUCGGGUCUAGUGGCGCACGGGUGCGUAACGCGUGGGAACCUGCCCUUAGGUUCGGAAUAACUCCCCGAAAGGGGUGCUAAUACCGGAUAAUGUCUUCGGACCAAAGAUUUAUCGCCUUCGGAUGGGCCCGCGUUGGAUUAGCUAGUUGGUAGGGUAAAAGCCUACCAAGGCGACGAUCCAUAGCUGGUCUGAGAGGAUGAUCAGCCACACUGGGACUGAGACACGGCCCAGACUCCUACGGGAGGGAGCAGUGGGGAAUAUUGGACAAUGGGCGAAAGCAUGAUCCAGCAAUGACGCGUGAGUGAUGAAGGCAUUAGGGUUGUAAAGCUCUUUUAACCGGGAUGAUAAUGACAGUACCGGGAGAAUAAGCUCCGGCUAACUCCGUG